rnacentral:rRNA from 1 species
UACGUAGGGGGCAAGCGUUGUCCGGAUUUAUUGGGCGUAAAGAGCGUGUAGGCGGCUUUGCAGGUCCGCUGUGAAAACUCGAGGCUCAACCCCGAGCUGUCGGUGGAAACCGUAAAGCUAGAGUCCGGAAGAGGAGAGUGGAAUUCCCGGUGUAGCGGUGAGAUGCGCAGAUAUCGGGAAGAACACCCGUGGCGAAGGCGGCUCUCUGGGACGGUACUGACGCUGAGACGCGAAAGCGUGGGGAGCGAACAGG